rnacentral:rRNA from 1 species
UACGGAGGGUGCGAGCGUUAUCCGGAAUUACUGGGUUUAAAGGGUGCGUAGGCGGCUUGUUAAGUCAGGAGUGAAAGUUUGCGGCUCAACCGUAAAAUUGCUUUUGAUACUGGCAGGCUAGAAUCAGGAUGAGGUCAGCGGAAUGUGGCAUGUAGCGGUGAAAUGCAUAGAUAUGCCAUAGAACACCAAUUGCGAAGGCAGCUGGCUAGACCUGGAUUGACGCUGAGGCACGAAAGCGUGGGGAGCGAACAGGAUUAUGACUACCGAGU